AUGGCGUACGAUCAGCGGGGGCUGAGAGGCGAGGAGGCAGCGGCGGCGGCGGUGGGGGAGGAGGAGAUGCUCCGGCGCGGGCCGUGGACGGUGGAGGAGGACGUGCUCCUCGCCAACUACAUCGCGGCCAACGGCGAGGGCCGGUGGAACGCGCUGGCGCGGCGCGCGGGGCUGAAGCGCACGGGCAAGAGCUGCCGCCUGCGGUGGCUCAACUACCUGCGGCCGGACCUGCGGCGCGGCGGCAUGACGGCGGAGGAGCAGCUGCUCGUCCUCGAGCUGCACGCGCGGUGGGGCAACCGGUGGUCCAAGAUCGCGCAGCACCUCCCCGGCCGCACCGACAACGAGAUCAAGAACUACUGGCGGACGCGGGUGCAGCGCCACGCCAAGCAGCUGCGGUGCGACGUCGGCAGCCAGCGGUUCAGGGACCUCGUGCGCGGCCUCUGGAUCCCCCGCCUCCUCGAGCGCAUCCACGCCGCCGCCAACAACUCCGGCGACGGCGACGUGAUAGCGCAGGCCACGGCGGCCGCGCUGCCCGUCGCGGCGGACGGGCGGUGCUGGCCCGUCGACGACGUGUUCGACCUCGGCCCCGGCGCCGCGGCCGACGUGGAGCUGUCAUGCACCACCGCCCUGUCCUCGUCGUCGUCGGUGUCCACGGACGGCUGCGGCGUGCUGCAGCCCCUGCCCGCGCCGGCGCCCAUGGUGGCUACCGCCGAGAGCGCGCGCGGAAGCGUCAUCAUCAGCGCUGCCAUGCACGACACGGCGCUCUGGCAGCCGCCGCAGACUCACGGCGGCCUCAUGAUGACCCAAGAACAACAGCACCACCAACAGGCUGAGUCGCAGCCGCAGCUGCUCGGCGCCGAGACGUGGUGGUCCGACCAGACCUCGCUCCCCGCCGGGCUGUACGCCGACGUGGGCUUCCCGGAGCUGGAGUUCGGCGGCGAGACCAUGUGGGGCGCCUGCGCCGAUGACCUGUGGUGCACGGACAUGCUGGGGCUGUGA
rnacentral:rRNA from 1 species